rnacentral:rRNA from 1 species
UACGUAGGGCGCAAGCGUUGUUCGGAUUUACUGGGCGUAAAGGGCGCGUAGGCGGCGCGGUAAGUCACUUGUGAAAUCUCUGAGCUUAACUCAGAACGGCCAAGUGAUACUGCAGUGCUAGAGUGCAGAAGGGGCAAUCGGAAUUCUUGGUGUAGCGGUGAAAUGCGUAGAUAUCAAGAGGAACACCUGAGGUGAAGACGGGUUGCUGGGCUGACACUGACGCUGAGUGCGCGAAAGCCAGGGGAGCAAACGGG